GCCGGGAUGGCGGAACUGGUAGACGCGCCAGACUCAAAAUUUGGUGGUGGUGACAUCAUGAGAGUUCGAUUCUCUCUCCCGGCACCA
rnacentral:tRNA from 1 species